GCCCGUUUGGCUCAGUGGGUAGAGCAUUGGCCUGUAGACUGAAGGGUCCAGGGUUUGAUUCCUGGUCAGGGCA
rnacentral:tRNA from 1 species